ACACACACACACUUUUUUUCAUACGAAGUAUUAUUGUAAAGGUAAAUGCGAAACCUCAUUAUUUCCAUACUAACUAUGGUAAGCUUAGGCCCCUUUUGCGUUGACGUCCUCAUAUAUCAUUGUAGGAAUAACGACGAAAGGGAAGAUCUUCAACCGAGCAGGUAAUUGUUCGGUGGACCGACGGUCCGAAUAUUGUUGUUCGGAACUUGUAUACAGGGGGGUGCAACUCCCAUACAAAGGAAAAUAACAUACAACUAGCGUCAUCUUACUCCUGUGGCGACGUCAUUUUUGUAACUUUUAGGCAUUAAUGAUCUAAUAAACUCACUAGAUGGCAGAUAUGAGUUCUGACUCAAUAAAAAAUGUAGCGUACUUUGAAGCAGUGCUUCCACUUUUAGGGAAUUCUCCCUUUUUUAGGGAAAAAUAGCUGAUAUUUUGGAUGAUAAAGACAAUUUAAAAAAUACCAGGAUUUAGGAUAUUUCGGGGUAAAAAGCAAAGCCUAUACUAGUAACUGUUGUGAAUUUUAAAAUAAACGAUAAUUAAAGUAAAACAAUGAACAUUUUAUUUUAUGGAGAGAGAAUGACAUUAAGUCGAGUUGACAAGUAAAAGAAUAAAACAGAGUUGUGUAUAAAAACUAUAAAGGUUUGAUUCAACAGUAACCCUCUAGUAAAGUAAAUCAUAGAUUAAGCCACUGCUUUUUCUUAGGGAUUCCCCAGAAUCCCAAUAAGUAUAAUCCGCCAAAUUUUUAUUUACCUAUUUUCGUUGAUGUCACCAGAACUUACUUGUAUUGUAAUAUACAGGUACUUCAUGUACCAUGAAAGAUUAUCAUGGUAAUUUCAUUUACGAAAACCUUGUAAUUGUCAUUUCACUUUUGCUAGCAGUUCCUUCUUCAAAGACUGAGGUGGAAAGAUUAUUCAGUGUUCUCAAAUUUAAAAACUGACAAAAGAAACAGGCUUUCUAAUGAAACCCUGAACGGCUUGCUUCAUAGAAAGUUCCCAACUUUGCCAGCAAACAAUUGCUCAAUUUUAGAACCGAACAGUGUUAGGUUGUGCAGCAAAAGAAUAUAAAAGCAAUGCGUCGACUUCCUUGAAAAUUCUAAUCCUAUAGAUCUAUGUUCUUCUGGGGGCGUUUAUAUUAUAUAUACCUACAUUAAAUAAUAUGCUGUGGUUUAUUUUCUGUAUUUUAUUUACGCUUUCUAUAUAAAGGAUUUAUGAAAGUUGUCUAGGAAAUUUUAGGGUAAAUUCAAAAGAAACUAGGGUAAAAUGUGUUAAAAAAAACGUAAGUGGAAACACUGCUUUGAAGUUUUCAAAAUUCCAGGGCCGUAAAACAAUCUCAAAAAAAAAAAAAGUUUUCAAAAUGUCGUAACGAUUUAAUUUUUUAAAUCGUUUUUUUUUGGUCUUGGUGUGAGUUAUUUUACGUUGUAGUAUUAAUUUAGAGCAACUUUUAGCUUUAUGAGAAUAUUAGACGAUUAGACAUUGAGAAACUCUGUUUUGAAUUCUCUUUAGACAUAACUUGGCUCCAAUACUUUUUUCUUCGUUAGCGUUUCGUAAGCCUGUGUAACUAUUUUCAUUUCUUACAGAAUGUUUAUUAUUAAAAAUCAGCAUGCCUCGAAGAUCGAAAAUGAAAUGCUAUUUCGGAUGCCUUGAUAACGACAAAGGUUUGAUAAUGACAAAAUUUUAUGGAAAAAUUAUAAGGAGCACUAAAAUGUCUGAAACAUGAAAAGAUUGAUGCACUAUAUUUGAACCAGAACGUGUUAUGUAAUAUAUUAAUUUAAGAGAAACUGAUUCAGCAAGGAAUGUGAACUCUCAAGGGAUCUUAAUUUUUUUUAAAUAUGUUUAUAAUUGAUAAAUUAAUAAUUGAAAUAGUUCAUAAGAACUAAAUUGAUGCCAAUUUUGUUUUAAAAUAGGUUGUUUAGUUCUUAUAGUUAUAGUAUUACGUUUGAAUAGUUGUAAUUAGUAAGUUAGUAAUAUAUGAAAAUACUGAUAUAAAUUUUUGUAAAUAACCUUUUGUAAAUUCUACGAGAAGAUGAUUUUAAUUAAUGAUCAAAAGUCAACGGUCUUUAAAAGCAUUAUUUGCAAUUAUUUAGAUUAACUGUGGAAUAUAUUUGCUAAGUUGUGUUUUCUGUAUGAGCAGAUAUAAAUGAAAAUGCCCAAACAUGAUUAUGUUUCUUACAUUUUCAUUAUGUGAAAUCAAUAUGCUUGUGACUGAGUAUAUUAAUAAUUUAUUAAAACUUAAGUGAUAGACAGCAACCCCUAUGGCACUGCUGAAGUUUAUAAGCACUGGUGACCACUUAUCAUGGGCCGGGUUGCGUGCUCGUCUGCUGUUGAGUGCAAUAAAAAUUUUCGAAACCCUUUCUAUUAUUUAGAUGUAAUAUUAGUGUACAUUUAAUUUGGAUUAAAAGAUAAAUUUACAUUUUAUGUUUGCAUGUGUAUGUUUAUAAUUCAUUUGCAUGUAACGAACACCAGUUUCUUUUGUAACAAAAUUCAAACUAAUGGUUUGCAAUGAAUGUAAUUAACUUUAAUUAUGAUGAUUUUCUUUCAAUCUGCUGUUUGUUUUAUCUAGUAUUACCAAAGCUAAAGCGUCACAAACGUCAGAAUAGAAAUAAAUUAGAAGGGAAAUAAAACUAUAACUAUUGUAAUCAUGUCUAAGAUUUCUAUAAGCGUCAUUAAGUACAAACUAUCAAUAUUUAAGAGUACUUUAAAUCAUCAUUACAAUUUUUCCACAUUUUUAUUUUUUCAAAUUACGUAAAAAACGUUUUGUGCAGAACAAAAUGUCACAUAUUAUGAACCAUUCUGGGUUAAUUGUUUCUUAAAUGUGUAAAUAUUUAUAAGAGUGCUAAGAAUAAUUUAGUAUUCACUUUAGUGUGUGUAUUAUCUCUACAAUGCUAGUUUAAAUGACAAUUAUUGUAUGACGAAGCAUAGAUAGUGUUUAUAGAUGUAAGAUUUUCGUACAAGGUCAUGAUCUGUCAUGAUCAACUUUAAGCAAGAACUGCUAUCAUUGUGAAACAAAUUUAUUAAAUUUAAUUCAAAUUGUCUACUAUGUUUGUAAUGGAAAGCUGACAUGUUUAUAUUUCGCACGAAUGACUUGAUUGAGAUGGAAUGAUUUGAUUAUCUAGACUUAUUUAACUUUUAGAUAACUUUCGAUUUAAUGUUAUUAAGUACUCUAGUAGGAUUAAUCUAGAGGAGUUAUUGUUAUUCGAAAUUUUAUACAAUUGUACGUUCAUACUAUCUUUUAACAGUAAAUUGUUUGUAAUAUAGGGAAAUUAAAUAGCUUACAGAGAA